rnacentral:rRNA from 1 species
ACAUCCAGAGAACUUAGCAGAGAUGCUUGGUGCCUUCGGGAACUCUGAGACAGGUGCUGCAUGGCUGUCGUCAGCUCGUGUUGUGAAAUGUUGGGUUAAGUCCCGNAACGAGCGCAACCCUUAUCCUUUGUUGCCAGCGGCUCGGCCGGGAACUCAAAGGAGACUGCCGGUGAUAAACCGGAGGAAGGUGGGGAUGACGUCAAGUCAUCAUGGCCCUUACGGCCAGGGCUACACACGUGCUACAAUGGCGCAUACAAAGAGAAGCGACCUCGCGAGAGCAAGCGGACCUCAUAAAGUGCGUCGUAGUCCGGAUUGGAGUCUGCAACUCGACUCCAUGAAGUCGGAAUCGCUAGUAAUCGUAGAUCAGAAUGCUACGGUGAAUACGUUCCCGGGCCUUGUACACACCGCCCGUCACACCAUGGGAGUGGGUUGCAAAAGAAGUAGGUAGCUUAACCUCCGGGAGGGCGCUUACCACUUUGUGAUUCAUGACUGGGGUGAAGUCGUAACAAGGUAGGCGUAGACGU